UAGCGUAGGGGGCAAGGCGUUGUCCGGAAUCAUUGGGCGUAAAGCGCGUGUAGGCGGCCAGAAAAGUCCGCUGUGAAAACUCGAGGCUCAACUUCGAGCUGUCGGUGGAAACUUUCUGGCUAGAGUCCGGAAGAGGAGAAUGGAAUUCCUGGUGUAGCGGUGAAAUGCGCAGAUAUCAGGAAGAACACCCGUGGCGAAGGCGGCUCUCUGGGACGUGACUGACGCUGAGACGCGAAAGCGUGGGGAGCGAACAGG
rnacentral:rRNA from 1 species